rnacentral:tRNA from 1 species
GCCCGGUUAGCUCAGUCAGAAGAGCGUGGGACACUUAAUCCCAGGGUCGUGGGUUCGAGCCCCACAUCAGGCG